rnacentral:lncRNA from 1 species
AUGACAUACUUGCCCCUCAUUUGGUUGUUGCUCUCUCAUCCUUCGAUCGAAAGCAGCAGAACAAAUCUCGAUUAUUCUCAAGUUCUCCAUCACAAUUAACCAGUCGAAUGUAGGGUUUCAUACGCACAGAUCCGAAGCAUAAUCGUAGAGGAAGUGUAGCUCGUUCGAUUGCAGUUCUCCUUCACAAUUAACCAGGUAACAUCACUCAGAUUCAACUGAUUCAUCAUGUUUACGCUUUUAAUUUUCUUCAGUCGAAUCUAGUGAUAUAUAUAAUACAAGGAAUUUGUUGGCUCAUUUGACUGACUAGCUACUAAUUAAUUAAUGGGCCUAAUACCACCACGCACAUUUAUAUUAAUUAAAUUAUUACAACUCCAAAUUCACGUUUUCGUUGUAUUGGAUUUUGAAUAUUUUGUUCGUUAAUAUUAUAUUUGAAAUAUUUGAUAUGGUGUAUUGACAUAUGUCUAAUAUAGUUUUGUUAAAUAUUCGACUAAAAUGUUAAAAGUGCUUCAAAUUAUAGAUGUGAACUUAACUCUUUAAGUAUGGGUGAGAAAAGUAAUGGGUUGGAUAUGUUUGGGUCAGAGGUUAGAAUGGGUAUAGGUUAUGAUAGAUUUGGGUUAGGAUAAAUUCUUUAAGAAAAAUAUUAGAAUGAGUAUGGGUUAGGAUUGGUUUGGGUAAAAAAUAGGUUUAUUAAAGGUUAAAAUGAGUUUGGGUUAAUAUUAGUUUGACUUUCGAUGAUGACAAACAAAAAAUAAAACAUAAAAAAAAUAUAUAAACAAAAAAAAUUUAAAAUUAAAAAUUCAGAAAAAUUAAAAAACAAAAAAAUUAAAAAAUGUUUAUAGAACAAAAAAAUAAGAAAAAAAUUUAAAAAUUUAAAUAAAAUCCUAAAAAUAAAAAAAUUUUAAAAAAGUAAAAAUCUCAAAAACAAUAAAAAAACUCAGAAAAAUUAAAAAAAAUCAGAAAAAAACUAAAAAAUAAAACUGUAAAAAAUAAAAAAAGUUAAAAAAUCUAAA